rnacentral:rRNA from 1 species
UGAUAGGCCGGGUGUGUAAGCGCAGCGAUGCGUUGAGCUAACCGGUACUAAUGAACCGUGAGGCUUAACCUUACAACGCCGAAGG